CUGUGGAUACAAUGGCACUUGGGAGCACCGUCAGGUCCAAACUGGCCUGACCUGCAUCCUGGGAGGGAAAAAAUAAAAAUAAAGGCAAUUCCAAUAUGCUUUUUAUCACACAGCCUUUUUACUACUGUUUCUUGGAACUGAAUAGGAUAAUGAUAGACUUGUAAAGAAUUCUGGUUAACCAUGUGGUAUCUUUUUCCCAUGCUAGAAUGUUAUAUAAUAAAAGUAAGGACUUUAAUGGAAAACAGGAGGAAACUGGGAGUGUCAAGGAAGGUAGUGACAAAAUUGAAAAGAGGAGAAGGUAGGACAGCAACGUACAGUUUUAAAGUGGCUUCUCAGAAUUAGAUUAUUCAGUAGAGCUUAUAGCAGUGGCAUUCUGAGGGAGCCAGGGAAAAUGGAUUAGUUGUUUUGAGGUCAGAACAAGGCAACACUCACUCAGAAUACACAAUAUAUGAAAUUUGUCUUUAAGUUGAAAACACAAUUAUUUGAGCUUAUGUUAUUGAAAAUGAAAUGGCUUUAAAUUCAACUCUUUCAUCUCUUAAAAUAUGUCAAAAGGCCCAUAGAUCCCCUGUGUACCCAACUCCGCAAAAUCCUGCUAUGUGUAGUAAAGGGAUAUAACUAUCUUUAAAUCGAAUUCCAUUGUGCUUGCAACGAGUAGAGAAAUAAAGGGAAAGGAUUAAAAAGUGUUAGCUUCAUCAAAAUAACUAAACAUGGACUAAAAGGAGUGCCACAAGCAUCACACCCCAGUCUGGGUACUUGGUGUUAGUCUGAUAUCCGACAAAGAAUUAGCAGAGAAUUAGCACAUUCUGUGAGUUGAGGGAGAAAGCCCCACCUAGCCCAGCCUGUGGAAACAGAAAAUAGGUUCAUAUUUCCUAGUCACUCAGGCAAGAUGAAAAUUAACUCAAUUUACCAAUAUUUAAGGACCAGAGAAAUUUAACUUGCAAUAGUAAAGUUGCCUGGCUCUAUGUGGUUUAUAAAUGGGGUCCUAAUACAUUAUUUCAGUUGGUCCUAACAUAUACUUGUGAGGUAGGCAAGGCUGUGAGACAAGCUCUCUCAUUUAGAGGCAGAUAAACCAAGGUUUGGGAUAGCUUGAGAAACCUUCUUAAAUGUUAUAUCCCAGGUAAAUGGUAGGACUGGAUUUCUAAGUUCUCAUCUAUUGCUCAUUACUCAUUCUGCACUACUGUGUACAAAGACAAGGUAUCAAGUGUGUGUGUGUGUGUGUGUGUGUGUGUGUGUAUGUGUGUGUAUGUGUAUGUAUAUCUAUAUACAUAAAUAUAUAUAUAUACAUAUCUAUAUAUAUGAAAAUGAAAAUAAGAAAUUAGAAAGCUGGGGCACCUGGGUGGUCCAGUCUGUUAAGCUGCCGGAUUCUUGGUUUCCACUCAGGUCAUGAUCUCAGGAUCAUGAAAUUGAGCCCUGAAUUAGUCUCCGUGCUCAGCGGGGAGUCUGCUUGAGAUUCCCCUCCCUUUCCCCUCUCCUCCCCCCACAGCUUCUCCCCCUGCUCCAUGUGCUCUCUCUAAAAUAAAUAAAUAAGUAAAUAAAUAAAUAAAUAAAUAAAUAAAUAAAUAAAUAAAAUCUUUAAAGAAAUAAUAAAAAUAAAAAUAAAUUAGAAAGCUGGAAAAGAGAAAAAAGAAAGAUGGAAAAGUGGAAAAAUUAGAAAAAUUAUGUGUGUAAUAUAUAAUACACACAUAUAAUUAUAAAUAUGAAGAUACAGGUAUGACAGCAAAUUCUAAGUCUGUGGGCAAAAUUCUGUUAAACAUUUCUUUAUUGCCUCAAAAUUCUCUUUGCUGGGUUUAUCACAAGCAGUUGGAUUUUUUUCCCUCUCUUGGACAAUGAAGAUAGGUUAAGAGGUGGUUUAGCUUUCUUGUCUCAAUGAAUUAAUGAGUUAGACUUUAACUGUGGUGUAAAUGGAGACUUGGAAAUCAAUUUUGCAAUUAGUUACUUUUACAGAGCAAUUCAACUCCUUCCUAAAGGUACAACGGGUAGGUAAAAGGAGGAGAAUGCAAAUGCUGCUCUGAAAUGAAUCUCCUCUUUAAAACUUCAAACUUUCUAAAAUAAUUUUUAAAAAUCUGUGUCAUUUCAAAUUUAAACUAACAUACCUACUUCUGCCCAGUGUGUGGGAGGAUUACUUAGUUUGGUGGUAAGACUUAGUGCUCUUGUUUGAAAAGGAGUUAUGAAUCAGGAUCUCUCCUGCGCGGUUCAGAAUCUGAUUUUAAUUUAUAAAAAUACCACAUUUUCAUGUUAAUAAUGAUGUGUAUUUAAGACAUCUGUUUGAAUGUCUGCAAAUGUUAAUUUACCAAGAGGGUGGGGAAAUAAUCCAAUAAAAAGCUGUUACAUUCUUUUAUGAAUUAACAUUAUGGCUGUUUAAUAGGUCCUUUACCAGAGUUCAAAUUAAAAGGAGGUCUUUUAUCUUUAUAGUGCCUGCAUAGACACAGCUGCUCACAGUUAAUAUCACAGAUGAACUGUGCCUAAUUGAAAAUAAAAAUGCAAAUAAAAGACCCUGUAGUACAUCUGUGGAGGCUGUGUGUACCCCCAAAGAGCCCAUGACAAGAGGGGCCUUGAGGUGACCACUGAGAAUGGACACAUUAAUACACAUGAUCUAUUGUCACGUGGUAAUUUAUUUGGGGGAUGAAAGAGCCUAUGUGAUGCAAGAAUUUAGUCCAAAAACAGUCCAGAGAAGUGAGCCUUUAAUUUCCAGCUUCUCCAUCAGUUCUCUUGGUUUAGUGCCUAGUGUCAGGCCACUGCUGAGUGCUGUCCAAGAGAAUUUUCUGCAAAGGCAAAAAUGCUCUAUACUGCACUAUGAAACACGGUAGCCCAUAGCUCUGUGUGGCCACUGAGCACUUGAAAUGUAAUGCCUGAUUGAGGUGAGUGUUAUUUUAUAUUUUUCAAGAGUUUAUUCACGAGAAACAUAGAGAGAGGCAGAGACACAGGCAGAAGGAGAAGCAGACUCCCCGCUGAGCAGGGAGCAGGAUCAGGACCCAAGCCAAAGGGUGGUGCUCAACCACUGAAUCACCCAGGUGCCCCCCCCUUGGGCAAGUUCUUAAUCUUUUUGUGCUUUAGUUCUUUCAUCUAUAACAUGGAAAUGGUGAGAACUGUAAAGCAUAAAUUAAAGUGCCCAGCACAUAAUAUGCAUUCAAUAAACACUAGUGGUUUUCUUCAUAUUUAGAUGAAACCACAAAUGCUACAAGCAUUCUUCCUUUAUGGAGCACUUCAUUGGUGACAUAGGUACUGUGGCUUCACCAAGAUGUCAUGUAGAUGUUUAUUCUGACAUAUUUAGUUUAGGUAUGACAAGGUUCAGGUACUUUCGUCUACCAUGACUCCAUGAAGAAUGUUGAGAAGCCAGGAUUCCUUCAACAAAAAUUUGCUAAAGACUAUCAUAUGCUAGACCUUGUUCUAAAAGGCAAAUAAAAGACUAAUAAACACUGAUUCAGCUCACAAACUUACGGUACCGUGAAACACAAGGAUUAGAUAUUUAAAUGAAGAAGCUUUGCCAAAAAAAAAAAAAAAAAAAAAA
rnacentral:lncRNA from 1 species